CUACAUCAGCUGCAGGGGAGUGUGGUAGAUUUGGGGGAUAAAGGUUCCCUGAGCCAUGGAAAGGCCAGCUCUCUGCCUGGGGACCUCCGAGAGGGUGGAUUUCAUGAGAAAUGUUCUUUAUUUACUCAGCCAGCCACAGCCAGCAGCUGAGCUCAGAGCGGGGAAGUGGACCACACAGCAGCAGAAAGUCCUGGAAAUCUGCGAGGGAGACCGUUCCCAGCACCCUUCCCUCUGCUGUCGCCCCUGUAUACAGUUGGCUAUGGAGGAUGUAUGGCUCUGUAUUGCUCCAACUCAGUGAGUUGCACACGUGGUCUCUCUGACAAACCAAGUGGACCAGGACUGGGGUCACCUCAUCUCAACUGCCCUGUCUGCUCCAUCCCCAGCACAUCAGACCCUGCUGUCUCUCCUCUGCUCCCGCUCCUGAUGCAUCCUAAAGGCUAUGUGUGGCCUAUAACUUCUCCUUUUCUCAAAUAAACCAAAAAACCCAACCAAAAAAACUACAGUAGAAGC